rnacentral:rRNA from 1 species
CCUACGGGAGACAGCAGUGAGGAAUAUUGGGCAAUGGACGAGAGUCUGAACCAGCCAAGUAGCGUGAAGGAUGACUGCCCUCUGGGUUGUAAACUUCUUUUAUAAAGGAAUAAAACGAGGCACGUGUGCCUUUUUGCAUGUACUUUAUGAAUAAGGAUCGGCCAACUCCGUGCCAGCAGCCGCGGCAAGACGGAGGCUCCGAGCGUUAUCCGGAUUUAUUGGGUGUAAAGGGAGCGUAGAGGGGUUGUUAAGUCAGUUGUGAAAGUUUGCGGCUCAACCGUAAAAUUGCAAGUGAUACUGGCAGUCUUGAGUGCAGUUGAGGUAGGCGGAAUUCGUGGUGUAGCGGUGAAAUGCUUAGAUAUCUCGAAGAACCCCGAUUGCGAAGGCAGCUUACUAAACUGUGACUGACAUUGAUGCUCGAAAGUGUGGGUAUCAAACAGGAUUAGAUACCCGGGUAGUC